UGCAGCAGGGCUGCCUGGCAGGGCAGCUGGAGCUCGGGCCCUCCCGGGCCGGGGCUGGGAGGCAGGAGCGGGUCAGUGCCCUCGCUGCCGCCGACCGGGGCAGGUCAAGCCUUGCUCUGGAGGAACUUGAACCCACCGCUCUCGAUUUGUUUGGUGGAAUGGUGCCGGGUUGCCUGAGGAGUACAGGAGCAGCUGUGCUGACAGUGGCCCCGCAGGUUCUUCCUCUGCUGCAGAAAAUGGUGCAGGUUUGGCUGCACCGCUGCCCGCAGCCCUGGGGGCCGGGGCUGCACCUUUGCCCCCGAGGCAGAGCCGCGCGUUCCGUGCUCGGGCUGUGCCGGGGCUCCGGCUGCAGCAAGGGCAAGCCAGCCAGGGCCUGAAAUGGUUAAAAUAUGCAGAACCUGACCAAGAUUGGCCGAGAAUUCAUCUCUCCACAGAGGAAACGCUGAUGUUAAGGGACCUUUGUCCCCAUCUGGCACUACAAAUGUACUUUGAAAUAAAUUUAGUCACUAAUGGGAUGCAGACCAGGACACACAUUCAUGCUCAUGAAGAUUUAUGAGGCUGCUGCUGUUCUCCUCUCAUUUCAUUAACGCUGCUGGGGGCCGGUCACACGGGUGAGUCAGGAGAUGAGUCAGAAGAGCCCAGCUUGGUUUUGAGGGCUGACACGGCGUCAGGAAGCGGAGUCACGGCUCGCUGCCUGGCUGGAAUUCUUUGAAGAUAUUGCUUCUCAGGAGAUGUGAGGGACAAACUAUAAAGACACAACCUGAUGCUUGCCAAAGUGUGUCUGAAAAUGGUGUUGUGCUUGGUCUGUGUGUCAAGCCCCUGCCCUAUGUAAACGCCUCUUUUAAAGCUGUGUGUGUAACCCUGCAUUUACAGAGUACAGCCACCGUCAGUUUGUGAGCAUCACUGAUAGACUCUCACAACAAUUACUUAAAUGGUGUGCCAAGAGCAAGGUUUUUCAGAUUAAUAGUGACAAAUACUGCCAGGAAAUUGGGCCUGAUAGCAGAGUAUGAAGUUGCAACAGUAAAUAGUCAUUUGAAAACUUCACACGGUAGAAAUAAUUUAAAUUCCUUUUCGUAUUUAUAUCAACAAUAAAGGAAUUCAAGGACAAGAAUGACAGAUAAAAAUACUAUUUGGAAGAAUGGGUGGCCCACUGCAUAUCUGAGUAAACAGAUCAGCUUCAGGUUGUUUUCAGGAGGAACUGGAACUGGAGAAGCUGUAACCUUCCUCCUCCGUGGAGUCUGUCAGCAACUGCUGCAUGAGGCUUCACAUUCUGCAAAUGCAAAGGGGGUCGGGCCCCAGGGGCAGCACCAGCCAUGUGUGCUGUCCUUGUGAGUCAAGCAGACCUGAGUGAUUUUACCUGGGGGCUUGAGGUGAUUCUUUUCAUAUCAAGUUCCACCCUUACUGUCACUGAAGGCUGAAGGACAACCCACUGAGUCCGGGAGGAGGAGGCAAUAUCCUGCCUCUCCUUCCCACGAGACUUGGUUCCAGUUUCUCAGCUUCACAGAUCUAGAGAAUCUGGACCAAGUCUCAGGGCCUGGUGCACAGUAGAUCCUUUGCUGUUUACCAGGAAAAGAGGAAAUGUGACCCCUAGCAGCACUUUAUGCCAGCUUUGGCUUUUCUGUGAAUAUGGUAUUUGCUGUUAAGAUUGUGCAGGUUUAGUCAGAUGGCAAAUUUGGGGAACAGCAGUGUGCAGAACAGCCUGUGGCCUUGAGAUGUCCCUGAAGCCAUGAGCUACAGGGAGCCACCUGAAGGCUCAGCAUCUCAGGAGCUCUAGAGGAAGCAACAGAGACUGCUGGCAGACGGACAAACCAAAAUGUGUGUUUUCUCCAGAAAAAAUGUGGAAACCUCUACAAUAUGAUAAUGGGAGAGGGGAAAGAGAUAAAUUAAUGAAACUGCCUCAUCAUCACGUGUCAGAAGAAGGAAAACGGUAGUGGAGAACAUGAGGAUAGAGAUCUAAAUUUCAGGUUUUCACCUGCUAAUUCCAUUUACACAGACUAGAUAACUCCUGCACAACUGUGGGCUUGAUAAGGUCUAACACAGGUGUUUUGUUGGGGCUUUUUUUUUUAGACUUCCAUGGCAUUAGUAAGGUUUUUCCUAAGGAAAUCAUGGCAGAGACAAGAUUUUUGACAUUACUUUAUCAGCCCCCUUAUAACUUCUGAAUUUUGGGCCAACUUCUAACCAAAUUUGGUUGUUCUUAAAAGUGAUGUGAAAAUAGCUGCAGAGAAGGAAGAAAGAACUUUAACUUUUUCUGAGGGAAAAACUGUAUUCAUUGGAGAAUCCUCUGAGGACUUCAAUUUGGAACAUAAAAUCUAUGAGAAAUGGUAUUUUAUUUUGCUGCUCAAAGAACUAUUUGUCUUAGCAUCUUAAAAAGAUCUUUAAAAAGUUACAUUUAAAGAGAGCUCUCUCUCUCUCAUUUUGAGGCUAUUAAUCCCUUGUGCUACAAAUGUUUAUGUGCAAGACUAGUCUUGGCAGAUCAUUAGGCUUUAAAGCUAUUCCCCAUUAAGCCCGUGUAUAAAUACUUGCAAUAUCAGGUCUUUGCUGAAACUAAAUAAGUGCUAGAAAGAGCUUUUUACUGUGGUUGGAAUGAAAUGUCUUCAGUGGCAGUGCACCAUGCCCUCCGAGUUUGGGGGUUUUAAUGAAAGGAAAAAUGGUAACGUUCAGCCUGCUCACCAUGCAGAGACCUGAAAGGAGACUUACUGACCCUCUGCUCCAGCACAGUACAUCUGGGAAAAACAAACUCUGGAUAAAUUAGAUAAAGAAAUUUGAUUUUAUGAAUUAUGGUGGUAGAAAAAUGCCUGCAAAGUGCAAUUCUGUUUACAUAGUUUUAAAAAAUUGAUAAAUGUUCUAUGGCUAUUUACACAAGGGAAUGGAAGCUGAAUCAAAUGUUAAAAAAAACCCCAAAAACAACACAGUUUCCCUUGAUUAUUUAGAAAAUAUGAAAAAAUACCACACUGAUGUCAGACUGGCACUGUUUUUCAAGAUUUAAAAUUAGCAUUGAACAGUCUGUUCUGGGAGCCCAUGGUUUUGGUACAUUUUUUUUCCACCACAGUCAGCCUGGAUUGACUGGCUCUGCUCUCUGUGUUUCAAGUACUGUGGCUGCUCCAUCAGGAAUGCAAAACUACAACGAACAACAGGGAGGAGGAAUUAUUAGGAUUGUUUGCAAAUUUCGAUUUGCAUGAGGGAGUGGAGAUGUUGACAGUUACACUUUGAGACUCAAGCUACUGCAGCUGGAUAAACAUGUACUGGAUAUCUCAAGGCCUCGCUUUCUCCCACUCCCAUGGCAGAGAAUGAACCAAAUACAAGUCCAAGCUAAUCUGAAAAAUAAUAGAGCAGCUUUCGACAAAACCUAUUUAUCUAUGAGGUCAAAAAGCCCCAGCCUAGUUACACUCCUAGAGAGGCUCUACUUGACAACGUGGUCAUACUAUCUCAGGGGCUGGGAGCUGGAGUGUUACAGACCACCCAGAAUUAUUGCUCCCACAAGGCAAUGAUAAUGGUGCUAUGAUUUCACUGCCUACAGACCUGAUCUAACACUUAAUAGCUUGGGUAGCCAUGGGAAACCUGCUGCAUUUCUGAGUUUCAUGGAUCACUUUUCCUGGGUACUUUUUAGGCACUGACAAAACUGUGUUUAUAGAUUGGAAAAGUAAAGAAGGGUUGUAAGAAAAGAAAUGAAUGAACAAAUUGGUAUUGGCAUGCAGAGCUUUGGCAAAGGUAGCUGUGAUAAAUGGACAGGUUUUACCUUCUUGGGAUUCGGUGUGUUUGACACACCAGAAUUCUGUCAAACUCACUGUAGAAAUAGAAUACCUGAUGGUUUUUAUGGUUAAAAUAUAACAGUGUAUUCUCUGGAAUGAAAAUGUGAAUGAAUCCCAAACACAAAGGGCUCUCCGUUCUCUGAAUCUGUAGACAAACCUUCUGGGGCCUUUGGGUGCAUCAGCAAUGUCAGUAUGACUGCAGGCUACCAGAAAGAAGCGCUUGUGAAAGCUGUUCUGGCCUUACAUUGAGAGAAGUUUGUAGAAAAAAAAUUCCCAUAAAUCUACUCCAACUGCUGAAUGAUCUUCGAGCUGAUGGACCAUUCCCUGUGUAGGUCUGUUUGAAAGAAAACAGCAAAACAAACUCAAACACAAACCGCAAGCAAAGUUGAGAAUGUUUUUGUGGAGGUUGGGUUUCUAUUCUUGCUUUCUCUGAAGUCAAAAGAAAUUCUGCCAUAGGUUUGAAUGAGAGUAGAUUUGGCUUAAGAAAGGAGCAGUUUUCUUGGGAAAAUAUUUGUACACAUGGAAAUCUGUUUGUGUAAGUGCUGAUUUACAUAUUCAAGUGCCUGUUUGCCUAAAGAAGUCUAUUUGGGCCCAGCUGUUCAUAAAUACUGCAAGGUGCAUGUAAGACUCCUUUUCUCUCUUACUGUCUGAAAAAGCCUGUCACCAUCCAGCUGGAGCUGCAGAGUAACACGAUCUCUUUUGUCUUUUUCUUCUUGCCCUCUUAGCUGUCUCACAUCCCAAAUCCAGUAAGAUAGCUGGGAAUUAUGGGAACUAUCAUGUUGAUUUCCAGGUAAAUCUUUCAUAUCUACAAAUAGCUUUUUGUAACAGUCAUGCAGGCAUGAGUAAUGUUACCUAGUAGCCUGAGAUGAAUCUUUUUAUAUCAUGUUCCACUCUGGGUAAUUAAUAGCACAUACUAAAAUCAACAUGCUUCCUCUUUUUGUAGGUUGUUGUGAUAGGUUUUUGGAUGGUUAUUGGAUGAUGUCUGGGAUUCUUUUUUAGUGCACUAGGAUGUAGUGACUCACAUCUGUAUGUUUGUGGUGGGUUUUGAGUGAGUGUUUUGUUUGUUUCACUGGACGCAUUUUCAGUUCUGAAUACUGAAGUCACGUCUAGCACCAAAUGGGAAUGGUGCCAUCAUUGUCUUCCCAAGGAGCUCCCAGAUUUGCGACUGCAAUUCUACCCUCUGAAUUGUAAUUUAGCAUAAGCACAAACACUGCCAUAAAUAUCAGCUUGAACUGAAUUCCCAGCGGGUCCCCCACGGCCAUACCUGGCGUUGGGAUCCCCGGUGUGUGAGCACUUCCUUUAAAAUCUGCUUUCCAGUGAUGAAAGCUCUGGUGUCAGGGAGAGCACACAUGGAGGAGGAAGAGGAGGCAGGAGCUGCUCUGAUGUUUCCCUCCCAGCUCCUUCAAGUGACUUUGAUCCCAAGUAAUCUCAGAAUUCAAAGCCCUUCAUAAUCCUCAGUGGUUAUAGAGAUGAA